ACGGCCUGCGCAUGCGCGCGCCCCAGGGCCCAGCCCUGUUCCUGCUCCGGCUCCUGCGGGGAUGGAUGCUUCACGCAGUAAGCGACCUAAGUCGCGGAAGCGUAGACACCCGGCUUUUCCCGCGUGCUCUAUCGGGCUCCCCUGGACACGGAGGGUGGAGCAGAAAGAGCAGAGGGGCCGGUGGGAGCCAUGGGGAGUCCGCCUAGCUCCAGAGAAGCUGACAAGUACCUGCCGGAAAAACUGCCUCUUUUCCCUCCCGUGCUUGGAGCAGGCAUUGCUGACAGAUCACAGCUGCUGGGCCCAAAGGUCCCUUUGCACGCGGGACUUCAGGAAGUUGCUGCUGACCUAUGGGAGUUGGUGCAGAAAGAUGAAAUUUGUUAUCCUUGGCUGUAUCAACUCUCUCUCCUCUCCUUGGUGGUGAUAGUUUUGUUCUUAAAAGCCUCUUGUGAGAGAAUUUGUGGAUGAAGAACCUGUAAGAUCACAAGUGAAACAAUUUAUUGAUGUCAAUAGAUUUAUACACGUUCAUUAAGAAUCAAAACUAAACUAAAACAUCAGUCUGACUAAAGAGACCACCACAGAUAUUUCAUAUGCUGUACAUCAGUAACAAAGGGUACCAAAUAGUUAAUAUCCAUGUACUAGUCACAUGAGAAAUGUUUUAGGGUCAUUGACCAGUGUAGUCAGUACAGUGGUCCCAUGGUAUUUGUGGGGGAUUGGUUCCAGGAAUCUCUUGGACACCAACUCCGUGGAUGAUCAGACAAUAUAAAAUGUGGGUCAGGUGCGGUGGCUCAUACCUGUAAUCCCAGCAUUUUGCGAGAAUCACUUGAGGCCAGUUCAAGAUCAGCCUGUGCAACAUAGCAAGACUCCACCUCUAAAAAAAAAAAAAAAAAAAAAAAUUAGCCCAGUGCAGCGGUGUGCACCUGUAGUCCCAGCUUCUCAUGAGGUUGAGGUGAAAAGAUCACUUGGGCCCAGGAGUUUGAGGCUGCAGUGAGCUGUGACUGCCACUGCACUCCAGCCUGAGUGACAAAGCAAGUCCCUGUCUCUUAAAAAAUAAAAUAAAAUAAUAGCAUUUGAAUGUAACCUACACACAUCUCCCAUAUACUUUAAAUCAUCUGUAGAUUGCUUAUAAUACCUAAUACACUGUAAAUGCUAUGUAA
rnacentral:lncRNA from 1 species